GGGGAUGAUAGGCCUCGAGAGGAAGGACUUUGAGAUGACGUUCAGGCGCUCCACCGCGGUGGAGCUAAAUAUCACCCGCGGGAAACUAUAAGUGCAAACUUAUUUGGAACCAGAGAGCCUGCAUUAGCAGUAGCUUAAUGGCCACACUUCCGACUUAGUCGGGAGCAUCCGUCCUUGAUUCUCGCUAAAGGAUCACGGGUGUCAUAAGCGGGAAAACUUCCCUGAAAGUUAAGUCAGGAUUCGAAUUUUAAGCCUGUCAACCGUCUCUCGAAAGCUUUCUCCACGCGGGUUCAAUUCCCGCCAUCUCCACUG
rnacentral:tmRNA from 1 species